rnacentral:rRNA from 1 species
GCAGCCAUGCCGCGUGUAUGAAGAAGGCCUUCGGGUUGUAAAGUACUUUCAGCGGGGAGGAAGGGAGUAAAGUUAAUACCUUUGCUCAUUGACGUUACCCGCAGAAGAAGCACCGGCUAACUCCGUGCCAGCAGCCGCGGUAAUACGGAGGGUGCAAGCGUUAAUCGGAAUUACUGGGCGUAAAGCGCACGCAGGCGGUUUGUUAAGUCAGAUGUGAAAUCCCCGGGCUCAACCUGGGAACUGCAUCUGAUACUGGCAAGCUUGAGUCUCGUAGAGGGGGGUAGAAUUCCAGGUGUAGCGGUGAAAUGCGUAGAGAUCUGGAGGAAUACCGGUGGCGAAGGCGGCCCCCUGGGACGAAGACUGACGCUCAGGUGCGAAAGCGUGGGGGAGCAAACAGGAUUAGAUACCCUGGUAGUCCACGCCGUAAACGAUGUCGACUUGGGAGGUUUGUGCCCUUGGAGGCGUGGCUUCCG